rnacentral:rRNA from 1 species
CACGGACUUCGGUCUGGUGGCGAGUGGCGAACGGGUGAGUAAUAUAUCGGAACAUACCCUAGAGUGGGGGAUAACGUAGCGAAAGUUACGCUAAUACCGCAUACGCACUAAGGUGGAAAGUGGGGGAUCGCAAGACCUCAUGCUCAUGGAGUGGCCGAUAUCUGAUUAGCUAGUUGGUGAGGUAAAGGCUCACCAAGGCGACGAUCAGUAGCUGGUUUGAGAGAACGACCAGCCACACUGGAACUGAGACACGGUCCAGACUCCUACGGGAGGCAGCAGUGGGGAAUUUUGGACAAUGGGCGCAAGCCUGAUCCAGCAAUGCCGCGUGAGUGAAGAAGGCCUUCGGGUUGUAAAGCUCUUUUGUCAGGGAAGAAACGGUAGUCUCUAAUACAGAUUGCUAAUGACGGUACCUGAAGAAUAAGCACCGGCUAACUACGUGCCAGCAGCCGCGGUAAUACGUAGGGCGCAAGCGUUAAUCGGAAUUACUGGGCGUAAAGCGUGCGCAGGCGGUUAUAUAAGUCAGAUGUGAAAUCCCCGGGCUCAACCUGGGAACUGCAUUUGAGACUGUAUGGCUAGAGUGUGUCAGAGGGGGGUAGAAUUCCACGUGUAGCAGUGAAAUGCGUAGAUAUGUGGAGGAAUACCGAUGGCGAAGGCAGCCCCCUGGGAUAACACUGACGCUCAUGCACGAAAGCGUGGGGAGCAAACAGGAUUAGAUACCCUGGUAGUCCACGCCCUAAACGAUGUCUACUAGUUGUCGGGACUUAAUUGUCUUGGUAACGCAGCUAACGCGUGAAGUAGACCGCCUGGGGGAGUACGGUCGCAAGAUUAAAACUCAAAGGAAUUGACGGGGACCCGCACAAGCGGUGGAUGAUGUGGAUUAAUUCGAUGCAACGCGAAAAACCUUACCUACCCUUGACAUGGU